rnacentral:lncRNA from 1 species
AUCCACGAAAAUAAUUAUCAGGUGACGUUGUUUCACCCUUAAUCAUCUCCAAUGCGGCUUUCAUUACAGCCGCAUUCAUCACAACAACAUCUUCUUCAUGACUAGUAGUGUGUUUUUUCAUGUCCAAAUUUGGGCUGCUAGUGCAGCUAAACUCAUAAUACUCAUCCUUAUGUUGAGGGCAAAAUGGUAAAUUACCACUCUCGACGUGAUCGGAGCGACGGUUUUGGUUUUGGUUGUGGUGGUGGAAGUGGAACAUGAGAUUUUGGAUCACGGCUUUGUAACUACUAACCUUGCUACGUGUCAUCAUUAAUUUGAUAUCGAGCAUAAUUUUCUGCUUUGAUAUACCUUUUCUUAACAUGCACAACGCUACUCGAACAAUUUUCCAAAACUUCUUUCCUAUCACUACCAAAUUUUGAUCCAUUUUAUUUUUUUGUGUGUGUGUUGUUGUUGCUAAUUGAUUUGGUAAGGCAAAAAGUAUAUGAAGGGGUAUAUAUAUAGUGGACCAUCUUAACGUUAAUAUGUUAAAGUGAGGAGUUAAGUAAAGGGUCCAUUUGAUAUUUUGGAACAAAAAUCGAAUAUUUUAUUGACUCAAUUAUUAAUGGUGUUGGUGAUUUUUACACUAUACAACUUUAGGUGAUCACUAUCACUCCCAAAUUAAUUGUGUGAUUAAUUAUUUUUCCUCAUGGAAAUCAAUUUUAAUUUGGUCACGUAUGUCCCAAUUAAACACCUCUUUUCUUUUUUUCUGCUCCCCAUUCAACAAUUUUCUUCUUUAAUUAAUACCUCAAACCAUAUGAGAUCUCUAAAAAGUCACUUCUAACUUAAUUUCAAAUUAUUGAUAGUUGAUACUUGAUACUACCAGAAUAUGUUUGAAAUUAAAUUAUUUAGGACAUGUCUUUUGCACUGAUGUUAUGGCUAGUCUAGUAAUGCGUGUUAAAUGCUUGUUCACUCUUAAUCAUAUAUUUCAAAUUUUGAUAGGAAAUGUUUUUUUUACACUUUUCAAUGUGAGUUCAGAUUAAUCAAGCAUCAUAGAUCAAGUAGUCUCAAACUUUCGGCUUCAUGAAAAGAUAAUUAUUCUUAAUUCAGCCACUUAGCUCAAUAAUAAUGCUAUUUAGGUUUGUCUACUUAGAGGGGAGGAUAUUAUCUAGAUUUGAUCUUAAGAUAUUAUAAUCAACAAAUAGGAAGCAAACAAACAAAUAAAUUUUAAAAAUAACAAAUUAAUAUUACUACGUUAUUGCAAUUUUUUUGUUUGGAUACAAUUGUCCAUUUUCAACUUCUAGAAUAUGCGUUGAAAGGAUACCUCCAAAACCCUAGCAGCUACUCCCUCCGUCCCUUUUUAGUUGUCCACUUUAGAAAUGGCACACAGAUUAAGGCAACAAUGAUUAACACAGUGAAGUUACAAUUUUACCCUUAUGACAACUUUUCACUUCAAAAUUACAACCACUUAUUUGAAUUCAAGUGAAAUAAAUUGGAGGGAAACAACAUACACUUUUACAAUUUUCAAGAAGUGUAAAUAAGGGUAUAAUAGGAAAAAAUUUGUUGUCCUUUCUUGAUUUGUCAAAAUGGACAACUAAAUAGGGACAACCAAAAAAGGAAAUAUGGACAAGUAAAUAGGGACGGAGGGAGUAUUUGUUUGUUUGAAAAGUUUACCUAACAAGGUAGGUUUUCCAGGGCAUGUAAUUCACUACAAAAAAACGCUUAAAUAGCGGGGGUUAAUUUUAAGGUUUGUAGGGGUUUAAAACCCCCGCAAUCUAGUAUUGCGGCAGUUAUCAAAACUCCCACAAUAAGAAUUGUCGCAAGCUUUUUGCGGCAGUUGUUUUUUUACCCCCACAAUCAAUUAGCGGGAGUUACUUUGCGGAGGUCGACCCACGCUAAUUUAUAAUUAAAUCUUUUAAUAUUAUAUUUUCAUAUUCAAAUAGUGGGGGUUUAAAACCUCCAAUUUUUUUGUAAAUUGCUUAUAUUGAAAGAUCUGGGCAAUCAUAAGCUUUACAAUUCAUUUAAUAUAUUGUUAUUCAUAUAUUAUUUACACACUAAUUAAGCUAUAAAUCAUAAUCAAAUCCAAGAAAUAUCUCAAGGUCAAGAAAUAUAUAUUCUUUAACGACAUAUCAUAAAGUCACAAAAAUAUUGCAUUAUCAUUAGUCGCUAAAAUUAUACUGUCAACAUCAAAUAUCUUCAUCAGAAGUAAACACUAAAUCUAAACACAAAAUAUCCAAUCCAACAUUUUAACAUCCCCUCCAAUCACACAAUCUUGUCAUCAAAUUAAUUAGCUAAGACAACUACAAUGUAAUCAACGGUUGUCAUGACAAGGAUUACUAUCACCGUUGCAUGAUCUUCUUGUGUUCAUAGGCAUAAUUGGUUCACUUGCAGUAAGAAAGGCAUCUACUUUUGCAGUAACAAUAGAUUCACACUUAUGAUAGAAAAAAACAUAAGAAGUUUUUCAUGCCAUCAUAAUACAAUUAAAUAGCAAAUAAUUGAAUCUGUAUAACCUCCAUCAAUUAAUCAACUAGUUCACAACUAUUGUCCUAUCUUUUUUUUUUCUUGUUGAAAUACAAUUAGAAUUCAUGAAGAAACUUACACAUAUUUCUUUUGUAACUUCAUUAACAUAUACUCCAUCUUUAUUUUAUGAGUAGCAAUAUAUAUUUGUGCUCGUCCAGGCCUUUGUCCAGUUUCAGCCAUCUACAAAUAAAAAAUCGAAAUCAGAAUAAUUUACUACUAAAAAAUGAAUACAUAAGUAAAUUUACUAAUCACCAUUUCAGCCCUUCUCGUAGCAUUCACUUUGGAGCUACCUGUGUGUGGAAUUGUCUAUUUUUUUCGAUUUUCAGUAUUUCUUCUAUGCAUUUCCUUAUAAAAAAUAUACGAAACUUGAUUAAAAAAUCAAAUAGUUACAUGAUAAUAAAAACUAGUAAAAUUAGUAACAUAAAUACCUUUGUUGAAUCUUUAUAUUGGUAAUCAACAAAAGAAAUUCAUUGAUCUCGUGGAAUUUCAUCUGGCACGUUAUCAAUUAUCUCAACUUUACUUUUAAGUGGGUCUUCGACUAACUUCCACAAGUUGUUCUUAUUUGCAGCCCACUUCUUUCCAAUAGAUUUAUAAAUGUGUUGCCACGCAUGUGACUCUGUUGUCUUAAAGGAGAACUUGGGCUUCAAGAAAGAAAAUAUUAGUUGGCUUAUCUAUUGCUUGUAAAUAAUAUUCAAAUUACCAAUUAUUUUUCUCACCAAAAAGUAAAAUAGAAUAAGAGUCUAGUUGUAAGCUCAUACCUUUAUAAUUUGAUCGAAAAUGCGAUUUAAGUAUAGUAUGACAUAGGCACACUCGACCAUUUCUCAAAGUUGAUUGGAAAUAUAGAGCAAUCACAUGCUAAAUUCCACAAAAUCCUGAAAGAAGGCUGCGAGCCUCUCCAAAUGGUUCAUUCAGGUAAUCAAAAUUAACCAAAAUAAGUUCAUCACCUGAUAAAUUAAGCACAUCUGUUUUUUUUUACUUUGAGCUUUUUGACAUUAUUUUCUGAAUCUGUAAUAAAAACAAAGAUAAAUUGAAGCUAUGAGAGAAACAAAUAAUAGUUAUUGAAUAUGUACUGAUACUCAAAAUUAUUUACCUAUUGCUUCUACAGUUCAAUAUGACUGUGAUUCACGCCCUAUACGCUUUUUGAAUGGUGCUUGAACUGUUGGAGGUUGUUGUGAUGAGUCUUGUUCAGUUGAAGACAAAUGUGAUGUCGAGUAAACUAAAUGAGAUGGUUGUGAUGUUGGAUAAGUUGUCGGAGCCAUCUGUGACACAACUUGAUCCAUCGUAGCUGAAUGUGAUGCCGAGUCAACUGAUUGAGAUGAUUGUGAUACAUGUUGAAAUAUUGAAAGCGCCUGCAAUGUCGACUGAAAUAGUGGGACUGAAUGUGUUGUGGCCGGAAAUGACGUGGGGGCAGGCGUGAUGUUGAAUGGAGAAAUGAAGGUGUUGAUUCCGCCCCUUGAGAAUCAGACACUAAUUGACCUGAGUUUUAUUUUUUCUGUAAACGCUUUAACUUUGGCAUGCUGGCAAUUCAAUAUUUCAAAUCUUGUAGUUCAUAGGUUAAAAAAAAAUUCAACCAAAAAACAGCAACUAAUAACCUGCAAAUACAAUAUCUAAACCAUAAAAAAUAAGCACCUGAAACUAAAAAAACAACCAAAAAUCUGCAGAAACAACAGCUUAAAACGCACAAAAUCAGCAACUAAAGAUUGAAAAAACAGUAGAUAAAACACUAUAUAAACAACAACCUAAAACACAAAAUUUCAGCACCUAAAAGCAACAAAAUAGUAGCCAAAAACUGCAAAAACAGCAGCUUGAAACACAAAAUAACAGCAGCUAAAAAUAGAAAAAAAAACAGCUACUAAAAAAUUGCAGAAAUUGCAGCGUCAAACACAGAAUACAAGAAACUAAAAAGAGAAGAGCCAACAACUAAACAUUUCUAAAACUGCAGCUUAAAAUGCAAAAUAUUGUCCAAAUCUUUGCUAUUUUAUUCAUUCAUAUUCUCCUCUAUUGCAAUUUGGAUAUUCUCAUAGUCAUCAUCAAAAAAUUGUCCAAAUUCUUGUUGUUGGCAUGGCUCAUUCUCAUACAGAUCCUCUUCAUCAAUCUCUCCCAUUUCGAACAAAUCUCUUGGCUUUAGAUGUACAACGAUACUCUAUUCUUUAUCAGUUUCAUCAUCAAUAUAGUAGACCAUAUUUGCUUGUGAUGCUUCAAUAUAUGGAUCAUGAUCCUCUCGAUCACCGGUGUGAAUCAAUUUAGAAAACUUGACACAGUUAAACUUUCAAGCAUCUGUUUUAUACCCUCUAUUUCGAGUAGUACCAGCCCAUAGACACUUGAAAAGAACAACUUUGAACCUGCCAUAAUAAUUAAGCUCGAUAAUAUCUUCUAACUUUUCAUAAUAUGGCAUGUCUGCUUGUCUUGCACAUCUAUCUACACUAGACGCAAUACAAGAAGUGUCAGAGAUGAGAAAAACUCCACUAUUUUGAGUUUUUGAUCCUUGUUCUCUAGAUAAAGUUCGAAAUUUGAAUCCAUUAAUGUUAUAAGCACUAAAUCUUCUUGCAUCUUGCGCAGGACCUUGUGCUAAAAACUUCAUAUCAUCAGAGAUAGUUUUUGCUAUAUUCAGAUUCAUAAUCUUAACAAACAUAAUAUAUCUGUCAGAGAUACUAAAUUGACAAAAAAAUAUGUUCAAAACAAAAUAUUCUAAAUUUAUUUACUCACUCUCUUAGGAAACCAAUCAGGAAACUCUUUACUAUAUAUAUAUAUAUAUAUAUAUAUAUUAAAUUCUUACGUGAUUAUUCUACACAUUUCUUACAAAUCAAAAUCAGUUUAAAUUUCAUACUCAAUGAAUGGCUUCACUACUGCGCAAUUAAGUAACACAUAUCGAUGAGCUUGAGUUUUCUCUAAAGUAGUCAAUGGUCCUGUUGUGGAGCCUCCAACAAGUUUACCUUGUUGAGGAAACAUAGAUGACUUUCCAGAAGCUUCAUUAUGAUUUGGUUCAUAGUUUACACGUUUAGGUCGAUUCAACCUUGACUCAAUUUCGUCAAAAUAAUGAGAGUAAAGAGUUAGAACUUCUUCAACCUUGUUCCCCUCAGCUAUUGAGCCUUCUGAUUGAGAUUUGUUCCUUACGAGAGACUUAAAAUGACCUAACAAUCUAUGGUCAAAAUAAUGAAGUGUUAGAAAAAUUAUUUAUGUUUAAAUUCUAAUACAAAAUCUAUUCAAUAAUUUUGAAUAAGAAUUUGUUUACCUUUCAAAGAAAUACAUCCAUCGAUAAUGUACAGGUCCACCUUGUUUUACUUCAUCCACUAGAUGUACAGUCAGAUGAAUCAUUAUAGUAAAAAAUGAAAGGGGAAACAAUAUAUCUAGAUGACUCGAGGUUUCUAAAAUUCGAUUUUGUAGCUUUUCUAGGUCAUACUUCAUACAAAGCUGCCUAAAAAAAGAAGAUAACUCUACUAGAGUUGCAACGACCUGAUUUGGAAGAACAUUGCGAAUUGUUAUCGGUAACAACUGUUCCAUGAAGAUAUGACAAUCAUGACUCAUUAAUCCAAAUAUUCUUUUUUUAUCCAAAUCAAUGCAACGAGAUAUAUUACUGGCACUGAGAUAUUCUUUAAAGUCUUGAGGAAGGCCACUUUCUUCUUCUUUGGAAUUGUAAAUGCACCAAGCCGACAUUCACCAUUCUCAUCCGGCCAUAGAUCGCGCCUUAUACCCAUGUCUUGUAGAUCUUUUCGAGCCUUAAUAUGAUCCUUCGAUUUUUCUUUAUCAUUUAGCAAGGAAUAUAUAAUGUUGUCAAACACAUUCUUUUCAAUAUGCAUAACAUUUAAAUUGUGGCGCAACAAAUUAGACUCCCAAUAUGAAAGAUCAAAGAAGAUGCUUUUUUUUCUCCAUUGUUGAGUUCCACGUUCACCAUCAUUUCUUUGCUUGUUUCGUUCUCUUUUACGAUUCAACUCUGUUGGUCUUCCAAAUGUGACAUGGAUAUCUUUCACUUGUUGAAAAAUAUCUGAUCCUGAUAACUUCUUUGGAGAGGUCCUUUCUUCCACAUUUCCAUCAAAACGACACCUCAUCAUUCUAAAUUUGUGAUUUCUAGCUAAAAAUCAACGAUGACCAAUAAAACACCACUUUCUACUAUGAGGAAGUCGAUAAGGUUCAGCGUCAAAAUUACAAGAGGGACAGGCAAAACCAGUAUGUGUAUCCUCUCUUCCACGGUUCCAUCAAAAUGAUGCCUCAUCAUUCUAAAUUUGUGAUUUCUAGAUAAAAAUCAACGAUGGCCAAUAAAACACCACUUUCUACUAUGAGGAAGUCGACAGGUUCUGCGUCAAAAUUACACGAGGGACAUGCAAAACCAGUAUGUGUGUUCCAACCAGAUAAGCUAUCAAGUCCAGGAAAGUCGCUAACUGUCCACAUAAGAGCCGCUCGCAUUCUAAACAUUUCAUUCUUUGAUGAGUCAAAAGUGUCCACACCCUCACUCCACAACUCAUUCAACUCCUUAAUAAAGGGUUAGAGGUAUACAUCUAUGUUAUUUCCUGGUGAACGUGGACCUGGAAUAAUCAUUGAGAGGAUGAAAUUUGGUUGUUUCGUACACAACCAUGGAGGAAGAUUGUAUGGAACCAAAAUCACAAGCCAAAUGCUAUAAAUAGUACUCAUUGUCCCAAAAGGUUUGAAACCAUCACUAGCUAGGCAUAAUCGCACAUAUCAAGGAUCAGAAGAAAAUUCAGGAUAAGGUGUAUCAAACUUCUUUCAUUCAUCACCAUCUCUAGGAUGUCGUAGGGUUCCAUCUUUGUUAUAUUCCUCUGCAUGCCAUCUUAAAUGCUCUACAAUCUUAGAACACAUGAACAAUCUUUGCAAUCUUGGUUUUAAGGGAAAGUAUCGCAAAUUUUUUGCAGGCUUCUUCUUUUUCUUCUUAGUUGUGGUAGAUGUAUGAUUUGUAUUGCUCUUUUUCUCGGGCUUCCAUCUAGAAGUGUGACAAUACUUACAUGUCUGGGUGUUAACAUCAUCUUCCCAAUACAACAUGCAAUCAUUUGGACAGGCAUCUAUUUUGAUAUAAUCAAGACUCAACUUAUUGAUGGUUUUCUUGGCCUCAUAAAAAGAAUUAGGGAUCUUUGCAAAUUUAAAUGCAUUCCUAAGUAGAUCUAGGAUCAUAGUCAUUCCCUUAUCACUUAAUCCAGACAAACAUUUAAUGUGAUAAAGCUUUAACAAAAUUUUUAACUUUGAGUACUUGGAGCCUUCAUACAAUUCUUGACUUCCAUUUUUAAACAACUCAAAUAAAUCUUUCUUAUUUAAAGCAGGCAUACCACGUAACAUUUCGUCUUCUUCCAUUACUAGUGAUGGACCUAUAUCAACAUCCUCAUGCAUUAAGCCCCCGAAUGCUUCAUUAACCAAUAAUUAUAUUGGAUUUUCAAUUGGUGGUGUAGCCUGAGUGGUCUCUAUGUCUCUCAAAUUAGAAAACACAUUCAUUUCUCUAUGCAUAACCCAAGUGACAUAAUUUUGUGGGAACGACUUGUUGAUCAAAUGGUCAAACACUAUAUUUCUAGUUUGCCACUUUCCAAAACCAUGGACAUUUAAUUUUAUCUCCUACAACUCCAUUGUUAAAUGCAAAAUCUAGAAAUUGAUUCAGACAAAACAAAUACUCCGAUGUGUUUCUUGGCAUUUCAAUUAGAGCUGUCAAAAAGGGCGGGCCCAGCCCCACUCGGCCCAAGCCUCGCGGGUUAAUGAAUUUGAAGGGCUGGGGAGGGCCGGCCCUUCAUUUGGUAGGGCCUGAAAAUGCUCAACCCAACCCGACCCUAGAAGGGCCGAGGGCUGGGGCGGGCUAGCCCUUCUUUUUUUUUUAUUUUUUUUUAUUUUCAAAAAUAUAAUUCUAUAACAUCAAGAAAAUAAGAAGAUUUUCAAAUCAAAUAUGCAAAUAAUGGUGUAGUUUCAAUAACAUUAGCAAAAAUCUAGUGCAAUUAGCAUGUAUUUCGCAUACCAGAUACACGAGUGAGAUAAGAGAGUGACAAGCAAGAUGAGAGAGAGGCGAGGGCGCGAGAUUUGUAUAUGUAUCUUAGAUACAUGCGAAUCUACUUGAAUAAAUUGUAUCUAGAACAAAUUAACCUAAUUUUGAGUCCAUAUAUUCUGAGAUACAUGUAUCUGGUACGAAGAUUCAUAAUAUUACAACAUAGCGUGUAUUCAAAUAAUUAGAUUAUAUACUAGUGAGAUUAUUAUAAAUUACUCUUAAAUGAAAAGUUUUGACCCAUGGGCCGACCUCGGCCCAGCCCCGAUCAAGCCUCAAGGGCCAAGGGAUUAUAAGCCCUAGUUUUAAAUGGGCUUAAAAAUCUUACCCAACCUUACCCCAAUAACGGGUAGGGUUGGAUCGGCCCCAUGAGGUAAGCCCAUUUUGAUGGCUCUAAUUCCAAUCCAAGAUUUAUCCAUUGAAAAAUUAGAUUAACGUGCAAGAAUAUCACCUAUAAGAUUUCAUGAGUAAGAAAAUGAGUGUGCAUUAGUAGGGGUGUACAAAAUCGAAUUGAAAACCGAACCAAACCACAAACCGAGUCAAACCGAAAAAAAUACCCGACUAGUGCUUUGGUUUGACUUGGUUUGGUAUUGGAAAAAAAACCCGACUAUAUUUGGGUUGGUUUGGUUUCAACUAAAAAAAACCAAUCUGAGACCAAACCAACCCGAUAUUAUAUAUAUAAUUUUAAAAAUUUUAUUUUAUACGUAAAUAUUUACUUUGAUAUAAUUUUUAAAAUAUUUCUUAUACUUUUUCAUAGUUUUUAUCUUUUAAUAUAUUAUUUCAUGUUUGAAAGUUAGAAUUCUUAAUGGUCCAAUAAAUAUUAUAGUCCAUAGAUGUUAGUAAUUAUAAUAAAGCUUAAAUCAAAAUCAAAUUAAUACUACUAAUGCAAAAAGGAAAUCAAUUCAACACUAAGAAUGACAAUAAUAUUGAAUAUUUGUUCUUUAGUUUUACAUAGGUUUGGGAAAUUAAAAUACAUAAUUUAAUUUUAAUUUCCUUUAAUAUUUAGUCAUGUAACUAAUACUUAUUAAACUUAUUUUAGCAGGAUUUAGUACUCUUAAAUUAUGAUCAUUUCCAUUAUGACUUAAUAAUUUGUAAUAAUUGUUUUACGCGAUUUCAUUAUUAUUUUUUUGUUGGAUAUUUUAGUGUCAUUAAUCAUAUCAUAUUUUGUGUUAUUUUCUUAAGAAACACCUUAGAUAGUUGUAUUUUGGUAGGACUAAAGAAAUAUUUGAAGUACAAGUAAAUUAUAUGUUUGUAUGAAUACUUUACCGAAAAAACCCGAAAAUCCGAACAACCUGAGGUUGUAAAACCCGAGUUUUAUUGGUUUGGUUUGAUUUAUAAAUUCAAACACCCGACACUAAAUGAUUUGGUUUUGAUAAUUUUGAAAAAACCCCGAACCAAUCCGGCCAUGUACACCCCUAUCCAUUAGCAUCACUUGAUGAGAAUAAAAAGUAAUCUAACAGAGAACACACAAUCAAAGAAUUCAUAACAAAACUCACACUUGAUCCCAAAUCCUCCCUGGUAAUGAUGACACAUUGUCUUAUAAAUGUACUAAAAAUGUAUAAAAUCAUAUUCAAAAUAAAUUUGUAAUACGACAAAAGUUUCAUUCAACAAAUCAUUAAAAUAACCAAAAGGAUGAGGAACUUAUAGCUUAUGCAAUAGGUGCAAUACAAUAAAUAUGAAUCUCAUAACACUAACUACCUAAUUGGAAACAAAAACAUAUACAAAUCUCAUUGUGUAGUGGCUAUGUACCGACAAAAUUCUAUCAUAAUUCUUUUUUUUGAUAGCAAACAAACACAAUAACCACUCGAGUUGGUUAAAACUUCAAAGUAGAAUCAACACUAAGACGCUCCUCUCAUAAAUUAUCAACAUAUCAUAUGGUCAUGGUAGAGCCUUCAAAACAGAUUUUGAAACAAAAAGUACUUCUAGGUAUAGUAUUCUACAAACAACAAACACAAAAAUGACUACAUAUAAUGAACAUUUAAUUCUACAAUGUUAUCAUUCCAUCUAAAACCAAAUCAUAAAAAUAACUGAGAUAAAUUUUCAACCCUAUACAUCAAAGUACAUAAAAAAUAAAUGAAAACUCCUUUUCAAUAGAUCAUCUAGAUAAAUCUUAUUAGUUCAAUUGAUUGAUUAUCUAAACUUACAUAAUUUCAAUCAGCCAUAAUCAAAACAUAUGGAGAUAAGGUAAGAGUUACAACUCAUAAAUAAUCCAAGUAAAUAUAAGUAAAACAAAGUCUUUAGUUCUAAAACAAUCAAUAGAUUAAUGUACUGCAAAAUCACAAGAAAAAAUAAGAAUGAAAAUCUAAUCAGUAGAUGGGAAACACAUUUGUGAAAAUAAGGGAACAAACAUCUUCUACAAAUGAGAACCCUUCUCAAGAACAUACAGUCUACUUCACCUAUUUUAGAUACCCAUACAAAAAAUUGAGAUACCCAUAUCAAAAUUUGAAAUACCCAUAUGAAAAUUCGAGAUACCCAUACUGAAAUUCGAGAUACCUAUCUUAAAAAUUUGAGAUUCCCAUACCAAAAUUAGAUCAAACUGAAAAAAUAGCAAUUAUUUUGUUGAAAGAUAAACAUUAAGUUGUGUGCAAGCGUGAAAAAUUGUGAACUGCAAAGUGAGAUAGGUUCUUGAGAUGUGAAAAAUAUUUACUAGAAAAAUUGAGGGAAGCCAAAAGAAAAGCGGGAAGCUGCUACUGCACGCUAUUAUUUUUUUUUGAUCUAUGAAGAUUUUGAACUGCUGCUAAAUAUUUAUAUUUCUGUCAGUUUAGAAAACCCUCGUUAUUUAAUGUAAUUUGCGGGGGUUGGAAUUGACCUCCGUUUUUAAACUCCCGCUAUUCAAGGAUGACCUCUAAUAGCUCUUCGUGGAGGCAUGAUUACUAAAACACAUGCGCAAGCACGAGUUAGAAGGAAACUUCAUAGAGAUUAACUCUAUCGCACGAAAUGAAUGUGAAAGAAGUGAGAUAGUUCCUAAAUGUUGCAGCCUCCUAAUUAUAGAUGUGGCGCGCUUCACACCGAUAACUAGGACUCUACAGACACGGCUUCAUAGACUCCCUAGGAUUCUUGAACUCUGUGCUCUGAUAUCAAGUUUGUCAUGCCUCGAACCUACACCUUGGGCGAGACUGGAACUCGAGAACCAUUUUUUGCCCCAAGCGAACCUUGGCCUGGCUAGGCUCUCAGCGGAAGACUUUAAGCAUUAUUACAAGGAUCAAAUGCAUUUAUAAAACAACUGUCUCAAUUUAAACUCAGAACGUUUAAGGAUAAAACAUUCAAACUAGCCAUAGAUGACAACUCAAGUUUUAUAGCAAAACAUCUAAAAUACAAGACUAAAGAACUAUGACUACUCGUCUGUGAAGCCUCUUAAAUAAAGAGGGAUGUCGAGACAAGACCCUCGAUCAUCCUAACAACUGAAAUACUAAAGCAAUGUAAAAGGAGUCCUUCGAAAAGCAAUGAGGCUUACCAAAUGACUCUAAGUGCUCAACUGGAUCAACGAGGCGCUGAAUGCUGAUCCUAGUUACUUGUGUCUGCAUCAUAAAAUGAUGUAGGCCAAAUGACAUCAGUACAUUGAAUGUACGAGUAUGCGAGGGGAAUACUAAACAAGACAUAAGCUUGAAAAGAAUCUGAAAAGAACACUUACCUUCAACUCAUGAAUAACUCAACUCAAAUGCAAAGUAAAACAACAAUAAUGGUGCAGUUUAUACAAAGCAUUUAAAACAAUAGGUGAUAACUCAAUGUAUUGAAGAGAUACAAUAACAACUCAGUUCACUCAUAUAGUAACGUAAUAUAAUACUGUUGGAGUUUCUCUAACCGAUAACAACCACUAUGAACCUAAGUGAUGAUAUAACGUUUUGCCCACGCUGCCAGAACUGUCCUAUACUUUGCCGUCAUAUAGAACGCUUCAACUAAGUGGAUCCACUAGUACUCUAUGCUAAAAAGCACUAAUGAGUCAUCUAAAAAGUAUGAUUCUUUCUACCCAUGAUGACUACAUGGUUUAUGGAGAAUUGAGUUAUUAUGAACUCGUCCCCUAUAUCGGUGCUCAAUACUACUCCCAAAAUAUACUCAGCUCAUAUGUUUUAAAAACAAAACUCUUUCUUUGGUUUGAGAUAAUUACUCAAAAACUAGCUCAAAAGAUCUCUUGGAAAUCAGUGUUUCCUCUCUUAUUUAAAUGUGACAACAUUUACUCUUUGGGAAUACUUAGUUUUCAUUUACUCUUUUUGAAGAAAUGAACUUUAUUUGUUACUGUUACUUAACUCAAAACUCAAGUCUUAAAACAAGAUUAAAACAUUUGUAAAAGACUUCUUAGAAAGACUCUAUGAACUUUCUAGACUUGGCUCUUAACUUUCCUUGAAUUUGAAUUUUUUGGAUUCAAAUGUUAUGAUUCAAGUUUAUGGAUGAUUUCUAAGUGUUUAGAAGUCAUUUAGAGUAGUUAGAAUCAAUAGGAAGUGUUAGUACACUAUAGAAGGACUUAGACAGGCUAAAUGACGAAAAACGGGUGGGGCAGACGACCUGGGUGCGUUCUUGGCGCGCUGCACCAGCCCCUAAGUUACUGGGGCUCAUUUCUGGCGCACUGCUGGCGCGCCGCCCCAGCCUUCCUGGCGCUACAGCGGCGCGCCGCACUAGCCCCUCCCCAGGCAAACCCGACGAACUUUUCAACUCGUUUUCUAAUCUAAAUUCGACUAAACUCAAUUCCUUUUCUCAAAUUCUCUUUAGAAUCAGAUACCCAAAACAUAUACACAAAAAUCUAACUUCAACAACUCAAGGAAUCAACACUUUAAUAUCAAGAAACUCCUCAAUCUCAACCCAAAUUCAAGAACGAAAGCAAUUCAAGAAUACCCCAUCAAGAACUUUCAAACUUCCAAUCUCUUUAGAACGAAUUCACGCUGAAUUAAACAUGUUUGGAACGUGGGUGAAUGAACCCAACGUUAUGAAAGUUUCACAUACCUCGUAGGAUCAAAUCCUUGACGAAAUCCGCAAUCAAUUCCUUACGAAGACGACGAAUCUUGAUUUUUCCUCUUCUCUUCUCUCUCGAGUUCUUCUCUCUAAAUCCCUAGCGUGAAUUUUCAACUGUGCAAACUGAACCAAUUCAGUUUUGACCCUAAUUAAUUCACUAAAAACGAAAUAAGUUAAUUGGGUAAGGAAAAGACCAUAAUACCCUUCCAAAAUCCAGUUUAGACUUUCCUUAUCUAAACAGCCCGACUUCAAAUGGACAUUUCUCCUUCAUACAAACUCGAAAUUGAGCAAACUCAGUGGUGUUGGAAAGAUAAUUCAAAGACCUUUCCUACGAUAUCUAGUAGCACACCUAAUUAACUCAUCCUGAGCUAGGAGUUAUGGUCGUUUUAAGUUGACCCAAAACUCAAACUUAACAUAACUUAACCAAUUUUUUCCAGAUUUUUCAUUCUUUCCAAAAACGACUCUUUCUAGUUCUUUCAAUUUGCGAGAUAUUAUAAUAUUAGAUACUUCCAACGCAUAUUCCGUGAAAGUUGAUGUACGUAUUUUCAAGUGCACAUUACAUAGCUUAGUUGAUCACAUUAAAUGUACGUCCUCCUUUAAUUAACAUAAUUACUUUUUUUCCAAGUUCCUGGUGGUUUCCUUCUGUCUACCAAGUACCAAACCAUAGUUGUUAACAACAAAUAAAGAUACAAUUGAAAUGUAACAUAACAAAAAGUUGAUGUAUGGCAUGAAUGUGUUUAAUAUUGUUUAUUAUAACUUGAAGACUUCGAUCAUUUCUCUUGCUUUUUGUUUCCACUUUUUGAAGCUUUUUAAAGUUAAUUAUUGGCCAAAUAGGGUACCCAUUGUUUUAUAAUUGGACGUAGUUGUUGAAAAGGUUAAAAAGAUUUGAAAUCUUGACAUUAGGUUGAUUAAUUGAUUUGAGUUACCUCAUUCAAUGUGCUUUGCAUUUUAAAGGGAUCAUCAGGCCACUACUAAGAUAUUUCUUCUUGUAAACUUCACGUGUUCUUGUAUGGAAAAGUUGUUUUGAAUAAAUUAAACCAGCUAUUUUUUAGUUAUUAGUAACCUUUUUUCAUUUAUAAAAAAGGUAGAAUUAGAGAAAUUAUGUUGUAUGAGACAGAACGUUGGUUAGUCAAGUACUCUCAUAUUCACAAGUGAAAGUUGUAGAAAUAAGGAUUCUGAGAUGUGUGUGUUGAUAAACUAGGAGAGACGGAAUAAGAAAUGAUGAUGCUCGGGUUAAGGUAGGAGUUUUUCCAAACAUGCGGGAAGCGAGACUUCGGUAAUUCAGGCAUGUGACGUAAUGAGCAUUUGGAAACAUACGCAAAAAAGUUCCAAAAAAUUAAUUCGGAAGUGCCUAAUUGGAAACACUUUAUUGUGUUCACAUAUAUAGUUAAUUUUUUGGUUUCCCACCCGGUGUCCGGAUCCCACAUUGGAGCUUCGACUAAAUCCGGAUCGUGCACUACAGGGCCCAUUGGGGGUGGCGCUCCCAACAUAAUUUUCUCCAUACCCAAGGCUCGAACCCGAGACCUCUGGUUAAGGGUGUAUAUAUAGUUAAUUGAAACAAGUCAUAGUUUGACUAUCUAAAUUAAAUUUACUAUAUCUCAAGUUUAAAGAUUUAUCGAUGUAUUUAACAUUAAAAAAUGAAUAUGAAAUUAAAGCUUUUAAAUUCUUCGUGUUAAAAAAAGGUUUGCGACUUAAAUUCACUAGUUGAAAUGCCAAAACAUAGCAAAAUCGUAGUUGUGCCAACAAGUUCCUUAAGAUGGAUUGUUGUUAUAUUUUACACUUAUUGUAGAAAUGUAAGGUAAGAAUGCAUAAAAUAAAUCAUUUUUUCCGAGUUCCUCGUGGUUUCCUCCUGUCUACCAAAUGCAGCUGCUUACAACAAACAAAUAAAUGAUACAAGAAAUGUAGCAUAACAAAAAGCUGAUCCAUGUGGCAUGUGUUCAAUAUUGUUUAUUUUAACUUGAAGUGUUCUCCUUUUUCUUGCUUUUUGUUUACACUUUGGCAAGUACUCUUUGAAGCUUUUCAAAGUUAAUUAUUGGCCAAAUAGUCAUUAAUUUGGCCUUAUUGGAGGUUGAAAAAGGUUAAAAAGUUUUGAAAUAUUCACAUUAGGUUGAUUGAUUGAGUUACCUUAUUCAACGUGCUUUGCAUUUGGCAUUGUACUCAGGUUUGAAAUGACUAUAUAUAAAAAGGUAACAUUAAUGUUAAUAAGGGGAACAUAAGAUCAAGAAUAUCAAGAUUAUCACAUUGCUAAUGAGUGACUUUUUGGGUUAGAAAGAAUUAGGACGUUAUGCAUAUGUAAGCUUAUAAUUGCAAAUUAUAGAGGCGAUAAAUCAAAUGAAUAAAAACUAUAGUAAAAAACAUUAUAUUAAUUAUUAUAUGGUAAAAAGUAAUAUAAAAGGAAAUAUUGAAACUGUUGAGAGAAAAUCUCUUCUUAUACAGAACUCUCUAAGCAACUACAUAAAAAAUUAAAAAUAAUUAUGGUAAUAUUUUCACUUUCCUUUCAUGGAAAAGUAAAACUCAAAUAUGUUAAGAAAAUCAUAACAAAACGGCCUAACUUGACUUGAUCUAUUUAAACUUUACUUAUCCUAAUAUAUUACUUAUUUGCAUCUUUUGCAAGUCGUUAUUUGAGUUGUUGUAUUGAAUUAGACAGAUUUUGUAUUAAGUGAAUGAUGUUGUUCUGAAUUUAGUAAUUCUUCUAGUAAGAACCUUCUACCGGAUUGUUAUUGUAAUUUCCAUUUUUGAUGUUAUAAAAUAGUGUUUGAUUAAAUAUAUGAAUUAAAUGGAAUUCAUAUAUUUCUAAAGACAACUUCAAUGGCAAUAACAUAGGUUUAAUUUACCAACACUCUAUAUAAAUGUUGCUGAAGAUUAAGGUGACAUUGAAUCUAAUAACAUUUAAACAAUUGCAGGCAAAUGCUUUUGUAGCAAUAUUUACAAAAUUUAUUGCCACUAAUCAUGUCUUUAAAUUGAAAUGUAAAAGGAUAUAUUGCAUAAUAUAUAGACUUUUUUCAAUUUGUUGGAGAAUAUCAAACUGUGUUAUAGUAAAAAAUAAAAUAAAAUAACUCCAAUUAAAUAGCGAUAGGGCACUAACGUUUGGGUGAAAAAAAGUUAGAAAAAACUUCUUAACUUUACAACAGUUCUACAACAAACAGGAAAAGCUAUACAGAAAAUUCUCAUUUUUUUAUUUAAACAAACAACACUCUAUUUUGUACACAUUGAAUAGAGUCAUAGACAAGACAUGCACAUAGGUACAGAUUUUUGCUGUCUAGCUACGAAAUUUAUUCAUCGCCAAAUUCUGCUUUUAUUUUAGUAGUGGUCUUUGAGCACGUACAUAGAGUACUAAUAUUCAUGUACAGCUCCAACAAAAGCAAAAAAACUAUAAUAGGAUUGAUUUAACAAAUCAAGAAAACAUGCAUAUUUUAUAAAUAUAUUGUUUGCAACAUUAUGAAGCAGAAAAUGAGGAUUGUCGUCUCAAAUUUCUAUAGAACUUUGAGAUAAACUCAUCAGCUUUCUCAUCUACGUGAUUAUCCAUUUCUUCCACCUCAUCUCUCACCGGAAAAGGCGAGUCAGUAACCCUCAACUGUCUCCCAAACCCACGAAAAUAAUUAUCAGGUGACGUUGUUUCACCCUUAAUCAUCUCCAAUGCGGCUCUCAUUACCGCCGCAUUCAUCACCACAACAUCCUCUUCAUGACUAGUAGUGUGUUUUUUCAUGUCCAAAUUUGGGCUGCUAGUGCAGCUAAACUCAUAAUACUCAUCCUCAUGUGGAGGGCAAAAUGGUAAAUUACCACUCUCGACGUGAUCGGACCGAAGGUUUUUGUUUUGGUUGUGGUGGUGGAAGUGAAACAUGAGAUUUUGGACCACGACUUUGUAACUACCAAUCUUACUACGCUUCAUCAUUAAUUUGAUAUCGAGCAUUAUUUUCUGCUUUGAUAUACCUUUUCUUAACAUGCAUAAUGCCACUCGAACAAUUUUCCAAAACUUCUUUCCUACCACUACCAAAUUUUGAUCCAUUUGUGUGUGUGUGUGUUGGUGUUGUUGUUGCUAAUUGAAUUGGCAAGGCAAAAAGUAUAUGAAGGGGUAUAUAUAGUGGACCAUUUUAACGUUAAUAUGUUAAAGUGAGGAGUUAAGGGUCCAUUUGAUAUUUUGGAACAAAAAUCGAAUAUUUUAUUGACUCAAUUAUUAGUGGUGUUGGUGAUUUUUACACUAUACAACUUUAGGUCACUAUCACUCCCAAAUUAAUUGUGUGAUUAAUUAUUUUUUCCUCAGGGAAAUCAAUUUUAAUUUGGUCACGUAUGUCCCAAUUAAACACCUCUUUUCUUUUUUUCUGCUCCCCAUUCAACAAUUUUCUUCUUUAAUUAAUACCUCAAACCAUAUGAGAUCUCUAAAAAGUCACUUCUAACUUAAUUUCAAAUUAUUGAUAGUUGAUACUUGAUACUGGAAUUAAAUUAUUUAGGACAUGUCUUUUGCACUGAUGUUAUGGCUAGUCUGGUAAUGCGUGUUAAAUGCUUGUUCACUCUUAAUCAUAUAUUUUGAAUUUUGAUAGGAAAUGUUUAUUUGUUCACUUUUCAAUGUGAGUUCAGAUUAAUCAAACAUCAUAGAUCAAGUAGUCUCAAACUUUCGGCUUCAUGAAAAGAUAAUUAUUCUUAAUUCAGUCACUUAGCUCAAUAAUAAUGCUAUUUAGGUUUGUCUACUUAGAGGGGAGGAUAUUAUCUAGAUUUGAUCUUAAGAUAUUAUAAUCAACAAAUAGGAAGCAAACAAACAAAUAAAUUUUAAAAAUAACAAAUUAAUAUUACUACGUUAUUGCAAUUUUUUUGUUUGUAUACAAUUGUCUUUUCUCAACUUCUAGAAUAUGAGUUGAAAGGAUACCUCCAAAACCCUAGCAGCUAUUUGUUUGUUUGAAAAGUUUACUUAACAAGGUAGGUUUUCCAUGGCAUGUCCUCCACCCCCACCCCCCCUUCUUCUUUUUUACAAUAAAGUUUAUAAUUGUGGGCGUACACCAAUCAUGAACCUAAGUUUCUUUUUCUUUUUCUUUAUUAUAUUCUGUUUCUACAGUUAUCCCAUAUCCAAAGAGUGUAGUUCACAAUUAAUUUACUAUAUACUUCAUAAUUUAUGUAAUGUAAAUUAACUGAAUAUUAAAUGUAACAAGUAUAAGAAUACUUUGUAACAUUUCAAAAUAAUUUUUUUAGAUUUUUUGUCAAAUAAGUUGAAUCCAUUACAAAUAAAAUGGUAGAUAAACUUUACUGUAAUAAGGAUCUUAUUAUAUUUAAUUAAUCAUAUUUUUUUCUAUUAUUAAUGGUCCUGAAAAAAUUAGGUACCAAAAAGUACGUAACCAAGUAUACAAACCUUGUCUUUGCUUGCAUGGCUAGCGCCUAGUUGACUAGAACUAGUUGUUGGUCAAGGUCUCACCCUAAGGUUUAUUAUAAAAAGCAAAGUUUUUUUUUUUCAAUUUUGAGACUCAUAAUAGAUUCAAUUAUUCUUUUUUCUAGACUUUUGAAUUUUGUAAUCUUUAAUUAAAUAUAUGUUAAAUGUAUCAAAAUGUCUUUUAAUCUAAUGAUUUUAAACAUAUUAUGUGGAAAUUAAGUUGAAAUUAAAAAAUUUAGAUGAAAUAAUAGGACCCCCGCAAACUUUAGAUGUCCACUUCAGAAAAGGAGUAUAACUUUGAUGGUUAAUAUUUUCUCUUUUGACUAAUAUAACACUGCCGCAAUAAAUAAAGAAUUUUUCGGCAAUAAUAUAAUUAUUAUAUUAUAUUUAGGAGCAAUAACAAAUAUUAAUAUUUAUAACCAACAUAUUCGAUAUAAAUUCUGCUAAAUAUUUUAGCAACUCUAAAUAUAAUUGCAUUAAUUCAAUUAUAGCUAAAUAUUUUUACCGCUUAAAUUUUUUUCAUUGUCAUUAAAUUUCUCUUUUAUUAUAAUUCAUGUAUGUAUUUUGGUUGUGGUUUUAUUUGCAAGAUUUUUUAAUGUUCAAUGAACUCUAUCUAUCAAGAAGCUUGUAACCAUUAUAAUUAGCUUAACAAACUUUUACAACUUACUACUUUUGAACAAAAAUGUACUACCUAACUUAGAAAAAAGGAGUUCCAAAUUAUAUUUGUUUCAUUUUAACUUGGAAGAGUUUCUCUUCUCAUGCUUUUGCACUUCUUUUAAUCUCUGAAAAUGCUUUCUGAAGAUUUUUCGAGUUUUUAAUGGAGACAUUGAAAUUUUAUUUGAUAAAUUCAUGAUAGGUUGACCAAAUUAAAUUUUUGGUUAAUAAAGAUAGAUUAAUAUUUAAAUUAAAAUUAUAUACCUUAAAUAAAGUUCAAUUAUAUUUGAGUUAGUACUCUGUUAAGUUGACAAGAUGAAUCCAAUUAGUCAAACUCAUGUUCUGCAAGCCAAAGUCUGCUAGAAUUAUUUAGAGACAUCCAAAUCUUAACUCACGCCUAUAUAAAAGGAUCUUCGUAAAGUCAGAAGAAAACAAGAAGAAAGAAAUACAUAAAAAAAAAAAUUGUUAACACACAAAGAAGUCUUCGUCUCCAUUUGAUGAGCCGCAAGCUGUUAACGACAAAUAAAUAUUUAUACAAGAAAUGUAACAAUACAAAAAGUUGAUCCAUUGCAUGUGUUCAAUAUUGUUUAUUUUUAACUUGAAGACUUCUCAUUUCUCUUGCUUUUAGUUUCCACUUUUUAAAGCUCUUAGAAGUACUCUCUUGAAACUUUUCAAAGUUAAUAAUUGGCCAAAUUAAAUAGGGUACCCAUUGUUUUGGCCGUAUUGAUUGAAAAAGUUAAAAUUAUUUGAAAAAUUGACUUAAUUGAUUGAGUUACAUACCUAAUUCAACGUGCUUUGCAUUGGCAAUUGUACUUUAGCUUUAAGUUGAAGAAUGAAAUUUUUUAGAAUCGAUGGUUAAUAAAUUGAAUAAUCUUCUUGUAAGGUUUGGAUAAUCCUCCUUUUUUGAACUAAUUUUUCGAGUUAAGCUCAAAAUUUGUAUUCUUUUAAUAUUUUGACCCCCCCAAAAAAGAACUUUUUUCUUUUUUCUCCAAAAUUGUUCUUUUACUCUCAAGUUCUCACUUCUCACCUCCUUUUAUGUGUAAUAUAAUUGUAAAUCCGAUUAUUAUUAUAAAAUUUAAUAUAAGAGUAAUGCAAUAGUAUUUAUAAAUUUUAAAUCUUGCAUUUGUCUCUGUCUUGGCUUAUGUGGAGAGUAGGGGUGUACAAAAACGAAUCAAACCGCAAAUCGAGUCAAAUAAAAAAAAAACCCGACUAGUGGUUUGGUUUGACUUGGUUUGGUAUUGGAAAAAAAAACCGACUAUAUUUGGGUUAGCUUGGUUUUAACUAAAAAAAACCAACCCGAGAUUAAACCAACCCAACAUUAUAUAUGUAAUUUUAAAAUUUUAUUUUAUACAUAAAAAUAUUUACUUUGAUAUAAUUUUAAANNNNNNNNNNNNNNNNNNNNNNNNNNNNNNNNNNNNNNNNNNNNNNNNNNNNNUUUUUUAGUUUUACAUUGGUUUAGACAAUUAAAAUGCAUAAUCUAAUUUUAAUUUUCCUUAAAUAUUUAGUAAUGUAACUAAUACUUAUUAAACUUAGCGCGGAGAAGUUCACUAGUUAAUACUAAUGCAAAAAGAAAAUCAAUUCAACACUAAGAAUGACAAUAAUAUUGAAUAUUUGUUCUUUAGUGUAUAUUGGUUUAGACAAUUAAAAUACAUAAUCUAAUUUUAAUUUUUCUUAAAUAUUUAGUAAUGUAACUAAUAUUUAUUAAACUUAUUUUAGCAUAAGUUUGUCUCUGAGAUUUCGGGCAUAGGUUGGGGGGUACUUAUGCAUUUUCCCUUUAAAUUAUGAUCAUUUUUCAUUAUGACUUUGCAAUAUUUAUUUUAUAUGAUGAUUUCAUUAUUAUUUUUUAUUGAAUGGUUUAGUGUCAUCAAUUUUGUGUUAUUUUCUUAAGAAACACCUUAGAUAAUUGUAUUUUGCUUGGACUAAAGAAAUAUUUGGAGCACAAGUUAAUUAUAUGUUUAGAUGCAAACUUUACCGAAAAAAUUAAAAAAUCUGAAAAAAUCCGAGGUUUAUUAGUUUGGUUUGAUUUAUAAAUUUAAAAAUUCGACACAAUGGUUUGGUUUGGUAUUUGAAAAACCCGAACCAACCCGAGGUUGAAAAACCCGAAAAAAAUUGAAUUUUAUUAGUUUGAUUUGGUUUAUAAAUUUAAAAUGUUUACACAAAUAGUUUGAUUUGAUAUUUGAAAAACUCAAAUCAACCCGGUCAUGUACACCCCUAGUGGAUAAUAACUUCUUCAUCGCCCAUUCACCCUCCAAUUUGAACGGUAUUACUUACAAGAAAUUUUAACUAUUGAAAUUUUAACGGUUGCUUACGAUAAUAUUUAUAAAUUUUAACCGUUGCUUACAAGUUAAAAAAAAAACAAAAUAUGUUUUUUGGUGUCUUCUUCAAAAAUUUCAAUAAGUGCAACAAGCCAACAAUCAUUCUAUUGAAGGAAUGCAACACUAUUUCAAUAUCAUUAUGUUAUUAUUAAAUUCUUUAACCAGAUAUUAUCAUUUUACUUUAUUUUAUAAUUUUUCUUGAGAAUCUCUAUUGUUGACAUUCAUAAUUCAUAAGUAUGUAUAUUCUUGUUUGUUUUGUUAUUAAAAUUUAUUCAAUUUAAAUAUGCCAACUAGAAAGUAUGAUUUUGAUUUUAUAAAAAAAAAUUGAAGAUUUAAAUAAAUUCCAAAAAGGAGCCUUUAAUAGAUUUUUAACAAAUAAUAAAAAUCUUCAAUCAAAACAUAUGGAAGGAUGUUCUUCAAAUGAACAAGUCACUAGUAGAAUUGAAUUAGAUGAUAAUAACAUUCAAGUAGAAAAUCUAGAAAAAGCUGGUGAAAAAUGUGACAUAAUUCCUGAGAAUCAAGAACUUCUAAAUAAUUUAAAUAGGUGCAUCCCUACAAAUAAAUAUCACCAAUUUUUUUUUUUUUAAAAAAACCUUUUUUUCCAACUUCCUUGUAGUUUCCUCCUUUCUACCAAACGCAAUUGUUUACAACUAAUAAUAUGAUACAAUUUUUUUUUAACAAUAGCAAAAAGAAGUUCCAUGUCAUGUGUUCAAUAUUCAUAUUGUGUACCUUGAAGAGUUUCUUUUCUCUCUUACUUUUAAUUUAUUUGUACUUUUUGAAGCUUUGCAAAGUUAUUUGCCAAAUAAUUUUGAAAUUAGCUAAAUACCUCCGAUCAAAUUAAUUUCAAAUAUUAUCUUAAAAUUAUUAUUCUUAUCCCUCGUAUUAAAUGAGUACUUUAUUUAUGACGGUGGCUUCUUGAGGGGUACGUUGACCAGUUUAAUUUUGAUGUCCUAUUUUGACCAAUUUUGAUAAUAUAAGCUGUUCAUAUUUUUUGUGCAUUUAGUUGAUCUAACUAAAACCACUAUAAUUAAUUCGAUAAGAAUACAUAUUUUAAAAAUCAAAAUUGAUGUAAUAUCACAAAUAAAUUUGAUGGAAUAAGUAAUGCGUAGAUUAUUAUGUGCACUUUGCCAUUUCCGUACAAAUAGAACAAGCCUUUCAAUUUUCCGAUGACUCAAAUACUAUACGCAUCUAGAUUUGGAGUAACAAAGUUAAAUUAACCAAUGUUUAGUGUGAAUUAAGAUAGAUUUUUAAAAAAAUUCUAACAAUAAAAUCAACAUACUGAAAAAUUACAUAAAAGAAUAUGAUAAAUCACAAUAGUUAACAAUUUAAAAUAUUUAGUAAAAACAUAUCAAAAGAAAUAUUCUUUGACGUUAUAAAUAUUAACUAAGAUAACAAAUUGAAACAUAGAGUAAUUAUUUACCGGUCAAAGAUUCAUUGUUUUAUUUGGAUUUUGUUGUAUUUACACAACUUCUUUUGUGAAAAACUCAAUUACAUGAAGCAAAUAAGCACACACUAUCCACAACUUCCAAUCCUCACAAGUUUUCUAUAUUUCUUUGUUUAUAUUAUAAGCUACCCCACACAAAAGCAAAAAAUCUAAUAAAAUUGCUUUUGCAAAUGAAGAAAAACAUGCAUACAUUGUAUACUACUAACAAUAACAAAAUAUGUUAAGAAAAUCAUAACAAAACGGCCUAACUUGACUUGAUCUAUUUAAACUUUACUUAUCCUAAUAUAUUACUUAUUUGCAUCUUUUGCAAGUCGUUAUUUGAGUUGUUGUAUUGAAUUAGACAGAUUUUGUAUUAAGUGAAUGAUGUUGUUCUGAAUUUAGUAAUUCUUCUAGUAAGAACCUUCUACCGGAUUGUUAUUGUAAUUUCCAUUUUUGAUGUUAUAAAAUAGUGUUUGAUUAAAUAUAUGAAUUAAAUGGAAUUCAUAUAUUUCUAAAGACAACUUCAAUGGCAAUAACAUAGGUUUAAUUUACCAACACUCUAUAUAAAUGUUGCUGAAGAUUAAGGUGACAUUGAAUCUAAUAACAUUUAAACAAUUGCAGGCAAAUGCUUUUGUAGCAAUAUUUACAAAAUUUAUUGCCACUAAUCAUGUCUUUAAAUUGAAAUGUAAAAGGAUAUAUUGCAUAAUAUAUAGACUUUUUUCAAUUUGUUGGAGAAUAUCAAACUGUGUUAUAGUAAAAAAUAAAAUAAAAUAACUCCAAUUAAAUAGCGAUAGGGCACUAACGUUUGGGUGAAAAAAAGUUAGAAAAAACUUCUUAACUUUACAACAGUUCUACAACAAACAGGAAAAGCUAUACAGAAAAUUCUCAUUUUUUUAUUUAAACAAACAACACUCUAUUUUGUACACAUUGAAUAGAGUCAUAGACAAGACAUGCACAUAGGUACAGAUUUUUGCUGUCUAGCUACGAAAUUUAUUCAUCGCCAAAUUCUGCUUUUAUUUUAGUAGUGGUCUUUGAGCACGUACAUAGAGUACUAAUAUUCAUGUACAGCUCCAACAAAAGCAAAAAAACUAUAAUAGGAUUGAUUUAACAAAUCAAGAAAACAUGCAUAUUUUAUAAAUAUAUUGUUUGCAACAUUAUGAAGCAGAAAAUGAGGAUUGUCGUCUCAAAUUUCUAUAGAACUUUGAGAUAAACUCAUCAGCUUUCUCAUCUACGUGAUUAUCCAUUUCUUCCACCUCAUCUCUCACCGGAAAAGGCGAGUCAGUAACCCUCAACUGUCUCCCAAACCCACGAAAAUAAUUAUCAGGUGACGUUAUUUCACCCUUAAUCAUCUUCAAUGCGGCUCUCAUUACCGCCGCAUUCAUCACCACAACAUCCUCUUCGGUAGCAGUGUGUUUUUUCAUGUCCAAAUUUGGGCUGCUAGUGCAGCUAACUCAUAAUACUCAUCCUCAUGUGAGGGCAAAAUGGUAAAAUUACCACUCUCGACGUGAUCGGACCGAAGGUUUUUGUUUUGGUUGUGGUGGUGGAAGUGGAACAUGAGAUUUUGGACCACGGCUUUGUAACUACUAAUCUUGCUACGCUUCAUCAUUAAUUUGAUAUCGAGCAUUAUUUUCUGCUUUGAUAUACCUUUUCUUAACAUGCAUAA